UCUCAACACUCAUCACUACCGGACGCAACCAUCCCCUCUCCAAGGCCUCAUCACCUAAUGGGUGAGAUGUCUUCGUGGAGUCCAGGUUGGAGCAGAAAUGAUGGGCCGAAGUGUGAAGGGAGGCCUGGACCUUCGGCUUCUUGGGGACUGUCGCGGCCCUCUUAAGGCUGGCUGCUCCACUUUGUACGCGUCAAGUUUGGCCGCAUCAGUAUGUAUAUUGGACAUCAAAGAAACAACACAAGUUCCCCCUCCCGCCGCCACCACCACCACCACCUGACGUUUCCCGGCCAUCUCCCUACUGUAUUCAUUAACAUGUUCUAAUAUUCUGUGCAGAGAGAUAGUUGGAUAAACCUAGGAAGUAACGUUAACUGGAUUGCUUUUCUCUGUGUUAUCUAUAGUGUAGCGGAGGUGAAGCAGCAAA